UACAGAGGUCUCGAGCGUUAGGCGGAAUCACUGGGCUUAAAGCGUGUGUAGGCGGAUUGCUAAGUACCUUGUGAAAUCCCACGGCUUAACCGUGGAACUGCUUGGUAUACUGGCUGUCUUGAGCCACUUAGGGGCGACCGGAACAAACGGUGGAGCGGUGAAAUGCGUAGAUAUCGUUUGGAACGCCAAAGGUGAAAACAGGUCGCUGGGAGUGUGCUGACGCUGAGACACGGAAAGCCCAGGGGAGCAAACGGG
rnacentral:rRNA from 1 species